rnacentral:lncRNA from 1 species
GAAAGACUCUUCUCGGCCGGUGUUGGAGGCCUCUCUCUGUCGGGCGGGGGUGGUUUCGAACCACAGCGUCGGUACAAGCCUAACCUUUUUGGUUCGUGUCUGUGGUGUCCACGGAGAACACACUGGUGAGAGGGGGGAGGGAAGAUCCCGAAGUUGGUGCUGUAACACGAGUCGUGAGAUUUUUGUCAACCACUCGUUCCUGCAAUACAUUAUUUUGAUCACGUUUGCAUAUAUCCAAAUACAUAAGUACAUACGACCCGUUUCAUAAAGUAUCGUACAGGGUUUUUCAAAAAUCGCUUUAGUAAAAUAAAAACAUUAUUAUAUUUUUAUUACCAGGUAUUCAGAAUAAUGGGAUUCAUGGACCCAUAUUUUUUUUAAUCGAUACUGUAACUGUAAACAUGUGAUAUGCAAUGUAUUAUCAAAAUUUAUAUCUUCGAAUGAAUAAUUGAAAAAUAUUGCAAUUCUAUUAAAUAAAAAUAUUCAAGUUUGGUCUAUUGUUUUUAUUUCCUUGGUAAAGCUACUUUUGAGAUAUUCUGUGUUUUAGUGCAUAGCCUAGUGCAUCCCUCACAUGCAUUGCGUAAAAUUAUGAAACGAGUAUCAUCUAAUGUUUCUUCGUUGAUGUGAAAUCGUGUAAGAUGGAUAAAAAGUUGUCGACCUGAACGUGGAGAUAAAUCAUUGCGAUUAGAUAAAGAAAAAAUAGUUUAGGAAUGGUCAAAUAUAUUCCUUUAGAAAGUCCAAACUAUUUUUCUUUCGUGAAAUAGAAAAACGAAAAUUGCAUAAGAUUUUUGUAUUAAAUCGUCAAGAUCUUUUCAUUUCAGUUAAUUAAUUAUUGUGAAAGAAAACAACUUUCUAAAUCGAUAACAAUUUGUCUUCGCGGUCGAUAAAAUAGAUUUGACUGGAAAAAUUUCUUCUUGUGAAAAAUUAUUCAUUCUCAUCGAGGGAGUAU